UUUCCCCCCGUUUUUUCCAUCUUCUGUUUUCACUCUAGUUUUCGCCCUCUCUUCCACGCACCAUCCCGAAUUUCACCUUCUCCAUUGAAGGGUUUACGAGCUUUCUCACUCCAUUGAAGCAUCACCUCCUUCUCUCUCCAUAUCCCUGGCCUCCAUUGAACUCGUGCUCUAUAUUCUCCAUUGAAGCCGAUUCUAAGCUUUCUCACCUCCAUUGAAGCAGCUUCGAGGUAAGGGUUCUGGUUUUAAUAAGUAGGAGAAGGAGAGAGUAGGUCCUACCCGCCGCCACUCACCCUUCGCCGGCCACCGUCCGUUCCUCUCAGCCGUCCUUCGUGCAUCGGCCACCGGCCACCAGCUAGCUAAGAUAAUGAGUGCACCAGAAGGAAAUCGGUCUAUGGUGAUGGUGAUAUCAAUUUCUCAGCUGCCAACGAACGUAUGUAAGGUGGUGCCUUUUAGCCUGUUUUCAUUAUUGCUAAUAUUGCUGCACUGAUUGCUAGUCGAGAUAUGACUACUGCUACAUUUUCAUGUAUAAAGUAAUUGACUGCACUUGGCUAUGUUGUGAUAUAAUAUUUCUGUUGUACUAUCACUGCUGUAUACUUGUUGCUGUUGUAUGCUUAAGGAAGCUAGACUCUUUUCCUUUUCCCUUUUGCCUUCCUCAUUUUGGUAUUAGCUGAGCUUACCGUGUCCAAAAGUUUGGCCAUUGUCUCGAGGGAUCCAAGUGGAAAGGAAAUGAGGCGGUUUUCAUCUUGUGAAUGAGAUUUAAAUUUGUCUAAGCUUGAGUUUUAUCAGAACUUUCUGUUCAUACAAAAUUGGUUAAGCAUCUUGGGUGCUAAAAUUUUUCUGCUUUCAAUUAUUAUCAAUCUUUUGGCCAAUUUGGCAAUAACUGCUUCCAUACGGCUUCGGUUUUGGGCUAAUUUAGUGGUGGAAUAUGCAAUGGUUACAGCUAUGCGACUGCAGUUUAUGGCAGCAGAAAGACGACUUCCUGAUCAAUUUACGGAUGGAAUAUUUGUGUAACGGUGAUUCAUUGUCCUUGUACGAAAUAUUCCCCCAGAUGCUGAUGAAUUAAUUAGUGAGCUUGUGGAGCACUUUUUCUGGUCAAUCACCCUGAUCAUUAUCUCACGCAUCAGGUGGUUCAUAAUGCAAAUAAGCUGUCAUAUUUAGUUGAGGAAAAAGAAGCAAAAUUGGCUGGAUUACUACGAACUAAAGUUUUUUAGAAAGUCGGAUCAACGGCCCAUGACGAAGUUUGGAUUUCUUGGCCUCUUUGAACAAAAAGUUGAUGCCAUAGAUUAAAAUGCUGCUGAAAUUGAGAGACUACAUAAAGAAGUUGAUUCUCUAUUGUGAAUUACUCCCAGAAAGCUGAACCAAGGCAGCAGCCCCAAGUAGCAUCCAGCAGCAACAAAAGGACAGCAGCCAAGCUGCAGUACCAACACAGACCAGCAAGAAAGGGAGCAUGCUGUAGCAGCCUGAGAAACUAGCAGCAGCAGGAAACUAGCGUAGCAGUAGCACCCCACCAGCAGACCCAUAAUCAAUUGCGACACAGUAGGAAGCACCAACAAGGAGCAAAAUGCACCAGCCAGUACUGCAAAACAGGCAGCAUAUAGAUAUCAGAACCUUUAUUUUUUUUAUUUUAAGUUUUUUAAAGUGUAAUAUUACUAGUUA